GUGGGGCCAGGGAUUGAACGUGCAUCCUCAUGACACUAGUCAGGAAGGUGUUGCGUGAGCACUUCCCAACUGUGCCCUGUGGCAAGGGCUGCGGAACUCCAGAUUCCUCCAGGGACCCAGCAUCAGCUCAUCCUGGAAACCCCCACCCAAGUGGCAAGAUUUGCCGGACGCUUUUCACCCCGCCUCUCGGUCCUCCUUGAGCCGCAUCAGCACCAGCCAUCAGCACGUUCCUUGAUUCUCAGCCUGGACCACCUGCUGACUCAGAAGCUUGGCAUCUCCAAGUGCGUGUUUUCCCACACGGCUGUGGCAUCUUCCUGGAACCCACUCCACGCAAAGAGCUCAGGCCUGAGGGUCAGACAGAGCUGGAAUCACAUUCCUCCUCUUCCUUGUAUUUGGUGAAGUUAUGUAAACUUUCUGCUCCUUGGUUUUCUUUGUCUAUACAAUAAACGUACCGAUGUCCACUG